UACGUAGGGUCCGAGCGUUGUCCGGAAUUACUGGGCGUAAAGAGCUCGUAGGUGGUUUGUCGCGUUGUCCGUGAAAACUCACAGCUCAACUGUGGGCGUGCGGGCGAUACGGGCAGACUGGAGUACUGCAGGGGAGACUGGAAUUCCUGGUGUAGCGGUGGAAUGCGCAGAUAUCAGGAGGAACACCGGUGGCGAAGGCGGGUCUCUGGGCAGUAACUGA
rnacentral:rRNA from 1 species